rnacentral:ncRNA from 1 species
UUGAGCUUGACUCUAGUUUGAUAUUGUGAAUGGACAUAGGAGAUGUAGAAUAGGUAGUAGCUUUAGUGCCGGUGAAGUACCACUAUCCUGAUUUUUUAUACAUAACCAAAGAAGCGGAGCUCGACUUCACAGUCAAAUAUCUAGCUUAAAGAUCCAAUUCUGGGCCAACCUGAGUUGAUGACAUUGUCAAGUGGGGAGUUUGGCUGAAGCAGCAUAUGUGUUAAUCAUAAUACAGAUGUCUUAAGGGGGACUUAUGGAGAACAGAAAGCUCUAAUUGAACAAAAGAGUUAAUGUCUUUUUGAUUUUGAUUUUCAGUAUAAGGUAACGAUCCUACUCCUCUGUACUUAGUUCUUCAGCAGGUAACAACCUUACCA